rnacentral:rRNA from 1 species
CCCUUAGAUGUCCUGGGCCGCACGCGCGCUACACUGAUGCAUUCAACGAGUUUUACCUUGGCCGAGAGGCCUGGGCAAUCUUUUAAACCCGCAUCGUGAUAGGGAUAGAUUAUUGCAAUUAUUAAUCUUGAACGAGGAAUUCCUAGUAAACGCAAAUCAUCAAUUUGCAUUGAUUACGUCCCUGCCCUUUGUACACACCGCCCGUCGCACCUACCGAUUGAAUGGUCCGGUGAAGCCUCGGGAUUGUGGCCAGUUCACUUUAUUGGGAGUUGGCUGCGAGAACUUGUCUAAACCUUAUCAUUUAGAGGAAGGUGAAGUCGUAACA